rnacentral:lncRNA from 1 species
GGGAUGAGUGGUUUGUCCACAUGAAAAGCCAAAUCCAAAUUCAUACCUCAAGAAUUAGGAGAAUCUUAUCCUUCCAAUCAGAUUAAUUAUCACCCACAACAUUGUAAUAUAAAAAGAAUUAUUAAGAAAAGUAGUAGUAAAAAUAACAGUAAUAACCAAAGAUAAACACACAUCAAUGAUACGAAAUAUAAACUUAAUUUGAAUUAACCAAUUAUUAAAUUUAAUAGUAAAUGCUCAAUCUUCAUAUGGGAAAAGAUUGCAAGCAUGCAUAAAAUAUACUUAAUCAUUUAAUCUCGUUUUUGAUAUUUUAUCUAGAAUCC